rnacentral:lncRNA from 1 species
UUGAUAUUUAAAUAGAAUAGCAAACAAUUACAGUUAGAAACGAGAACACAGAUUGCCACGUUAACGGUAACAGAUCAACUACGAUGACAGGUAUGUUAUAUACUGAUGUUGUUAAUUCUGUAUGAUCCUUAAAUGAUAAACUUGUAUACAACAUAACGUUUACAUAAUUUUCUAAGAAUGUCUUUAUUUAUAUAUGAUCAUUAAUUUUAUGUGUACACGUUAAUAUUCAGAGUAAAUAUAUUUUGAUGACACUUUUAAAUUUCGAAAAUUUUCUUUUUGAAUUUUAAAACAAAAGAAGAGCGUACUAAAAAUACAUAUAUACAUAGUCUGUUAACUGUAUAACUGAAAAAGGUUGGUUUCGAGAAAGCAUUUUCAAAUAAAAUAAUUGCCCUUUGAAUGUGCUUUAAGGGUCAACUUCUAAGUACACUCAUUCUUAUUUUUCUAGUAAGAAUCAAAGGUAUACUCUCUUGCGAUGUUUUAUGUUAAUUUCAACAUAGAAAGAUAUCGUAUUUGACACAUUUUGUUUUACCUCUCUAAUGCUCGGUAUAGCUAUAUGGACAACAAAAUGCUUACCGUAGUUAAGAGGUUACCUUCAAAAUUAAGCAUUGCAUGAACAUGAAUUCGGUAUUGAAGGAGGCUCGAGGGUACAAAAACAUCAGCAAAAAUUUGAACAUUUUUUUUUCAUUACAAACUUUAUUUAUCACACUACCAGUUGUUACGUUAUGAUAUGGUACAAAAAUUAACCCCAAAAAAAUCGUUGUGGCCCCAAAUGACUUUUACAAUGUUUAUAUUUUUGAAAAAGCUCCAAAUUAUCUCCCUUUGGUGAAAAAAUGCCAAAAAUAUCUUUUUAUAAUUCAUCAAUGACCUACAUUUUUUAUUAUCAUUUUCAAAUAAGCUGUACUUGGCACUAGCUUCGAGAGAUAUAAUAAAUAUAAUAUAAUUUUUUUUUGCUCAAUCAAUAAUCAAUUGCAAAUAGUGAAAUAAAAAUUAGCUUUUAGAAGCCAGUAUGGUUCAAUAUUGUCAAAAUCAGCUUAAAAACAUUGAUUAUGAAUUAUUCACUUACGAGUGAAUAUUUCGACCUCAUUGAAUCCAUAUACAUUUGAACUUCAAGUUUACCCCUUGACUUGAGAUGGAUAACACGUGUCACUGAAUUGUAUGUCUAAAGUUAUUUUAAGGAAAAGAAUGUCAACAUUGAAAAUGAAACAAAGGUAAAUCAUUUGAUUGACUGAUUCGAUCUACAAAAAAUCAUUCUUAUACAAGUAAACAAGAUGAUAAACAUUUAAUUUUCAUCUAUGAUAUGAAAUUAAAUAGACCUAGAAUAAUCCAAUAGCACGAGUUUCCUUAAUCUAUCAAUAUCUAUAAUUUAUGUUUACAUCGCUUAAAAAUGGUCAUCGGAUGACUUUAGAGGUCAACUAGAUAAUCAAUUAGAUGGCGUAUAGACUAAAAAACACACGAAACGAAGCUAAGAAUGUUCAUGCCCGUCUCCUAUUUAUUGUUUAUUUCAGACAUUUAAUAGUUUGGAUAAAUGUUUUUCAUUGUUAUAAAUCAAAUAUGAGAAUUUGAUUUGAAUCGGUAAACAUGAACUUGACAGCUAGUGACCCUUUAAACUAAACUACUGUAAAAUUUAAGCGAUUUCUAUAAAUAAUUCCUUUUUUUACUUCGAUGUUACCGUUUUUUCUCCUAUUUGUUCAACAGAAAAAAGUAACUUAACAAAAAUGCAUGUUUCUUUCGAAGGCAGAUUGUGAGCUUAAAUGAAAGGCGACCUAAUAUUUUUUUUUCAAUUUUUUACUAAAUAUACCUGUAGGAUAAAGUUUAUUCAUAGAAAAAAAUAGCAAAAUCCUAUAUCUAAAAAAAAAUGAUUUGUACCCGCGAGCCCCUUAAAUACAUCCGAGUGACAGCAAUACGAACGCUCCUCCUAAGAUUGAUGUACCCUUAUUUUUGACAUUAAUGCCUUGUAUCCACAUUGGUGUCAAUAUAACGAAAUUGUAUGCGACUGUCAUACAUGUGAGAGGUUUAUCUAGCUAAAAAACCAGGGUUAAUCCACCAUUUUCUACAUAAUGAAAUGCAUGUACCAAGUCAGGAAUAUUACAGUUGUUUCCUAUUCGUUUGAUGUGUUUGAAAUUUUGAUUGAGCCAUUUGAUAAGGAACUGUCAUAUUUGACUUUUCCUUUGAGAUCAGUAUUUUUGUAAUUUUACUUUUUAAUGCAGAAUAUGAAAAUCGCAAGCACAAUUAUAUUUAUAUUCCUUUUUAUUCCAAACGAUAACAAAUAAAGCAAAUAUCCAAAUAGAAGGUUCUGCAAACUAGGUAAAUCGGAUUAAAGUAAUGAACAUACGGACAGCCACAAGCAACAUAUCCUGGUACGAACACAAAAUGAGGUGUAGUAUCACAUCUUUAACGUGCAUCACUCUACCUACACGCAGCAUUGAAUGUAAUGUCUUUUUGAUGUCUCUGUGUAUAGAAUAUACCCCGCGUUGUGUCACGAACGUCAAAUCCCAUUCUUCGGCAUUUGUUUUAUUGUCAGACGGGAAUAGUUUGAUUUUUUUUAAUGUUUUUAUUUAACAACAAGUUGGACUUUAUUCUUCUACAUUGAUUGUAAAUCUAUAGAUCUCAUAAACAUGUUUAACCCCGCCGCAUUUUUACGCCUGUCCCAAGUCAGGAGCCUCUUGCCUUUGUUAGUUUUGUAUUAUUUUAAUUUUAGUUUCUUGUGUACAAUUUGGAAGUUAGUAUGGCGUUCAUUGUCACUGAACUAGUAUAUAUUUGUUUAGGGGCCAGCUAUAGAAGGACGCCUCCGGGUGCGGGAAUUUCUCGCUACAUUGAAGACCUGUUGGUAACCUUCUGCUGUUGUUUUUUCUGUGGUCGGGUUGUUGUCUCUUUGACACAUUCCCCAUUUCCAUUUUCAAUUUUAUAAUGAAUAUGAUCAGGGCAGAUCAGUCAAAUGUUUUAAACCAAGAUCACUUUAUGGUAUAAACAGUGUGCAUUUGCAAUCGAGAACAAAUGUUACUCCCUAAAACGACAGUUUUAUUACCCAGUCAGCUUUUGUCGAAUUUUACAAUUUAAUUAGUAUCACAAAUAUUCAUUGUGAAUCGAUCAUAUGAUUGAUUAUAAGAUGGUAUAAAUAUCGGACUAUGGGUAUCUAUUCAAAUCGUAACAGAAAUAUGUGAUUAUUUUAAAAUAACGACAUGGGUUAAAAAUAACAAUGUCAAACAUUUCAGGAAUACGAUCUGUGUUGUGUCUUAUAAUAGCUCUCACCAACAGAAAAAGAAAAUCGCCAUUCUUUUGGAGAUCCCUUAACUCCGAUUCGUGCAAAACGUACCCCAUGUUUUAUAAUAAUUUGUUAUAGUUAUAACUUGGCCAUGAGUUAUUUAAUCUUGUUUUCCAUUGUGAUGCUUUUGAUACCCAUGUUGGACAAUGUAAGCAUAUGGCAUGGUCAUACGUUCCUUCUGUGUAAGAUAUACAUGGUCCAUGAACUACAAAAUCCAUAUCAGUUAAUUUGUCUUGGUUAUAUAAUGUAGUUGAAAAAUAAUGUUCCUAAAUAAUAUAUAAAUAUCUUACAUACAGAAAUAAAAACAACAAUGGGGCAAACUCAUUUUAUUAAGGGGAGGGAGGGGGGAAGGAAAAUUUUAAAAGAAGAAGUAUUUGUGUUACUUGGCGAAAAAAAUAAUAAAGUGGCGCAAAAUAUUUUUUUGGUGAACGAGGUGGCGAAAAUAAAAUUUAGAAGUUUGUUGCAUUAACUGUUCAUAGGAGCACGAUAUCAGUUCAAAGUACCAUUAUUACAAAAAUGCUGAACUCCGAGGAAAAUUUAAAAUGAAAAGUUUCUAAUCAAAUGCAACUGCCGUCUACUGAUGGAACAACUGUUCACAAUAGAAUGAAAAAUAAAUGAAACAACGGCAGCAAUGAUUAUAAGAAAACAUUUUAAAACAGAUCAACAUCCAUUUAAAACAGUUUUCAAUUACGUUAAGAAAAAGUCUGAUAAACUGACCAAUAAGUCAGGAACGUGAUUUUCAGUGGUUGUCGUUUGUUGAUGUAAUUCAUCAAUGUUUGUCGUUUUUUUAUAUAGAUUAUAUUGUUGGUUUUCCCGUUCGAAUGGUUUUACACUUGUCAUUUUAGGGGGCUCCUACUGGCUUGCUUGGAGUGUUGUCUCAAUGGCAGUCUUAUCAUAUAUUCUUAUAUCUAACCAAUAUGUAUACUUACAAGCCAUUUUAAUUACACUGUUAAAAUGAAAUGUGUCAGAUUUUUUUAAAUACGUUAUUCAAUGAGGUAUUUAAAUGGGUUUACAGAGACAAUCUUAUUCAUGCCUCUCAAUUUAUAAAACUGUCAAACUGUUUACCAUUAAAGGAGUUUAUAUAUUAAACUAAAGUGUGAUUAGGUAUAAACUUCAUUGUUUGAGUUAAUCGUAACUCAGUUUUCUGUACAAACUUGACAAACGUAAACAUGAAAACUGGACAAAAAAAAAGUCCAAUUCUUUUUUUAGAGGUAGAAUGGGGACUUUGUUCUAAACAUAUCCCUUUUCUAGAUUACAAACUAUACACAUAUGUGAACAAAACUGAUCCAAACUAUUUAAAUCAUUAAGAACUGAAACGAGAUGUCAAAAUUUUUGCAACACGGAUACUUUGCAAUAAAAAAAUUGAAAUAAGUGAUAUGUUACGUGUCUAGAUUGGUAUUUUUCAAACUUUUUGACAAAAUAGUUAUGAAAAGGAUCAGCUUUGAUUUUUAACUAUAACAACUUAUACUUCGGUAAAUUAUGUACGUUAUAUAUUAAAUUUUGUUAUUUUCUCUUGUGCUUGGUAAACAUUACGUUUAUCCCAGCCCUUCCUGUCCUGUUUAACAUACUGGUUUUGUGUUAUGUUGUUACACCGGUGUCACAUAAUGGAACUUAUAUAUGAAUUAUCUAUAGCAAAUUAUUUGUACUAGUCACAGGUUAGAGGGACAGGUUCACAAACAUGUUUAGCUCCAAAAUGUUCUUCUUGUUAUUUUACGAAAAGCCAGGAUUUUGUUAUGCAGUGCUUGUCAUUUAUCUCUGUAUGUGUUAUUCUAUUCUUAUUUGCAGUAUCUUGCUUAACACAACGUUUUGUCAAAACGCUUUCUUUACGAUAUCAGUUUACUAGUAUAUAUAUAUCGUACUUUAAUAUUCACAUCUUGUCUUUAAAUUGUUUUUGUUGGUUAUUGCAGUAUUGACCAUCAUAGUAUAAAUCGUAGAUUAUUAUCGAUUGUUUUAUAUAUUUGUUUUAUAUGAUACAGGAACUCUUUAUAAUUUUCACUCUGCACUACGCAAUGGAUGCAUCAUUAGGAUCUAUGUCGUACUUUUAUAGGAUGUUGUUUGUCUUUGAUUGCUUUUCAGGUGGCUUUUUUUCUUAAUGUCUUCAGUUUAUCUUCAACCCGGGUGUAUCACUAUCACUUUGGUGUCUCUUACCUCUCUUUUGGAAUGGUAAAAACAAUUGACAUCGCAACAACUUAUUAAAGCUCAAUUGCAAUAGAAGUGCUAUAUAUGUUAGCAACCGUAUGGUAAAGAUUAUUUUUCAUUCCCCAUGACUAAAUAUCUUAUCUAUUUCAUGUUAUUUCAGACAUAGAAUCAAAAACUAUAUCAUUAGCACUGUAUCGUUAUAUGUGUGAGAACAUAGUUGGAUCAGAGAAUCAUGUUAAAACAAUCAGACUGAUGAACACAGUCAAGGAUAAUAUAAACAGCAAUACCGAUUUUACCUUUGAAGUUUUGAAGAAGGCCUUGAGUUUAGAUGUAGUGAUUUAGAUAUAUUAUAUAUGUAACUAGACUCUUGGAGGUUAAUAAAGACAUUAACACGGCUCAAAACAAUUCAAAUGUUAUGUAUUUGUCAAUGGAAACUAUAGUAUCCGCGAAAAAAGGUUGGUUUACAGUAAUUCCAUAACGAUUAUCGUUAGUGGAGGAGGAACUGUCAACCAUAUUCUUUUCUGAAUGUCUCUCUGUCUAUCCUCCAGCUUAAAAAAAAUAUAAGAAAAUGUGGUAUGAGUGCCAGUUAGACAACUCUCUAUCCAAGUCACAAAAAAUAGUGCAAACCAUUCAAAAGCAAGUUUUGCUACAUGUAUCUUAUGCUGAUGUUAAAUAGUAUCGUAUUAGAUUUGCGUCAGCUUUCAUUUCAAAUUUGAAGAAUAAUGGAUAGUCUUUAAAGAAGAUAAUUCAAUGACAUUUAUUUCAGAGUUGACAUUAAAACAUACCGUAGAGGAAUACAACAGAUAGUUUCUUGUAACGAGUCUUCAAUACAAUCCACAUUUGCAUACUCCAUGUCUAUGAAGUGUACAUCAUGUACCCAGUGUAUACCAUUGAACAAUAUAAAAAUAAAUAAUAAAACCCAAUACAAAAAGUAAAAACUCUGUUUAUUAUUUUUUUUUUUGCUAAUGUGCUGUGUCUAUAUACCUUGUCGUG